UGGGGAAUAUUGGACAAUGGGCGAAAGCCUGAUCCAGCCAUGCCGCGUGUGUGAAGAAGGUCUUCGGAUUGUAAAGCACUUUAAGUUGGGAGGAAGGGCAUUAACCUAAUACGUUAGUGUUUUGACGUUACCGACAGAAUAAGCACCGGCUAACUCUGUGCCAGAAGCCGCGGUAAUACAGAGGGUGCAAGCGUUAAUCGGCAUUACUGGGCGUAAAGCGCGCGUAGGUGGUUUGUUAAGUUGGAUGUGAAAUCCCCGGGCUCAACCUGGGAACUGCAUUCAAAACUGACUGACUAGAGUAUGGUAGAGGGUGGUGGAAUUUCCUGUGUAGCGGUGAAAUGCGUAGAUAUAGGAAGGAACACCAGUGGCGAAGGCGACCACCUGGACUAAUACUGACACUGAGGUGCGAAAGCGUGGGGAGCAAACA
rnacentral:rRNA from 1 species